AGCGGCUGCAGCAGGUGUUAUUGAAGAGGAUGUUGUGUCUAAUUUCUCCUAAAUUUCAACAAGAAGUUAUGUUUCAAAUUAUCAUCAUCUGAUGCAGCUGCAGAUGUUUGUCUGUCAUGCUGAUUUUAUCACCUGGAUUCCCCAGCAAAGUUUCAUUUUCCGUGUCCCACGAUAUGAGGAUUUUAUCAUUAAGGCAGUGGACACCAUCAGCAGAUUCUGUGCAAGGCCACAUUUACCCUCGGCUUGUUGGAACUUCAGCACAAGAGAUGAACAAGGAGGUUCAGACCAGCAGCAUUUCAGGACAAGCAUACAAACAGAAAGUGAGACAUCACCUUCCGCCCUGUGCCUCUGACCUCCAACCUUCAGCAGUCAAGAGCAGUUGACAGUUUACAAGGCCAUGCCCUACAGCAUUCUGCUCCCCAUCACCCAGCCCCCCCAUCCCAGAGCUUCUGAAGGACCAUCAGCACAGGUCACGAGGACAGACACUGACACCAAGCAGAAGAUGAACACUAAGCGCUGGCCCCAAUCACACUACAUGGCUGCUCCUCCACAACCAGCAACUCCAAGGUGCUAAUAUCACCCUCGCUUAAUA